rnacentral:rRNA from 1 species
UUCGUAGGUGGCCAACUAGGUCAGACGUGAAAUCCCUCAGCUUAACUGGGGAACUGCGUCUGAUACUGGUUGGCUUGAGUGCAGGAGAGGAACGCGGAAUUCCAGGUGUAGCGGUGAAAUGCGUAGAUAUCUGGAGGAACACCGGUGGCGAAGGCGGCGUUCUGGACUGCAACUGACACUGAGGAACGAAAGCCAGGGAGCAAACG